rnacentral:rRNA from 1 species
UACGGAGGGUGCAAGCGUUGUUCGGAAUUAUUGGGCGUAAAGAGCUCGUAGGCGGCCUGUUGCGUCCGCUGUGAAAGCCCGGGGCUUAACCCCGGGUCGGCAGUGGAUACGGGCAGGCUAGAGGUAGGUAGGGGAGAAUGGAAUUCCCGGUGUAGCGGUGAAAUGCGCAGAUAUCGGGAGGAACACCGGUGGCGAAGGCGGUUCUCUGGGCCUUACCUGACGCUGAGGAGCGAAAGCGUGGGGAGCGAACAGG